rnacentral:misc_RNA from 1 species
GGGUAAACUCUAUUGUUUGUGAUUUAUUCUUUUGGCAAGUGAUAAAUAAUUGGCUGGCAGAUCUGAAGCAUUUGUUAGGAGUUCAAGGAUAUUAAACAAUGCAGGAUAGACUUAAACGAAAUUAGAAAAAUGGAAGUAACGGUCGUUUUGCUUUAACUGUGUUUUUUCUUUUAGUCUUCCUCAAUAUCUCCUUCAAAUCUGGAUCUUCCAGAAAUUACUAUAUUGAUCUGUUUGGCAAUCUUUUCUUCUCAGAUGAAGUUUCGGAUUUCGUAAUA